rnacentral:rRNA from 1 species
CCCUUAGAUGUCCUGGGCCGCACGCGCGCUACACUGAGUGUCUGAGAUACGAGUCUGCCUGGUCCGGCAAGGUCUAGGUAAUCGCUAAAAGACACAUCAUGCUUGGGAUAGAUUAUUGCAAAUAUUAAUCUUGAACGAGGAAUUCCUAGUAAGCGCAAGUCAACAGCUUGCGUUGAUUACGUCCCUGCCCUUUGUACACACCGCCCGUCACUACUACUGAUUGGAUGUUUAAGCGAGGUUCUCGAACUGCUAGCGACUUAGCUUCGGUGAGGUCGCAGUGUGGGAAGUGAACCUAGCUUUGGUGUCUAGAGGAAGUAAAAGUCGUAACA